rnacentral:lncRNA from 1 species
GAUAAGGACCAUCCAUGUGCUCUGUUGUUGGUCAUGGUAAGGCCAUAAGUUUUUAUGCCCAUUUGUAUUUUCCCUUCAGCACUGAGGGCAUGGAGCUAGAGUCAGUGAAGCUGCUUCAUUUUAAAUCCCAACUCCCUCACUUACUGCAUCUCAGCAACUGUUUCCUUCCCCACAAAGAACACAGCCAUGACUUGUGCUAUGUGGAAUAGCCCAGGAAAUGCUUUAGUGCAAUGCUGCUAUUCUUUGUUCUUUAAUUUAUAUUGAAGGAAAACAAUUCUCCCACAUUAUGGAAAGGAAGGCAAGCAUCCCAGGAUCUCUUUACAUCUUUAUAACAAUCCCCACCCUGGUGAGACAAAAAUGAAUUAAAUCCAGCACCCAAGACACACAUCACUACUACAUGCAACAGUUCUAUGUGCCAUUCCAGAAAAGCCUUACUAAACAAAUCUGCCUUACGAUGACAUCUGCUGGGAGUUUCUGGCACUGGAAGAAAAAAUGCCAAAUAUCUAAUAUUAACAGCACUGCCCAGGGAGAAGAGAACUUAACAGUGUCAAGAGUCAAGGUCUUAAAUGAUCCUACUAAUUGGGAACUAUUGCUAAAAAAUAAUAAAAUACAAUAAACCACAGGUGAGUCCAUAAUAAAAACCAGAUGUUGAGCUACGAAACUGAACUCAAAACAUGAAUUAACAUUCAAACACAAUAUUACCCAGCUUUUAAACAUCCAUCUAGAAAGGAAGGGAUGAAAUAUGUGACAUUCUUCUUGUAUGAGCUUAUACUUUAGAGUUCCUCAUUGCUAAAAAAAAGGGGGUUAUUCUCUUUCAAAAAUAUGGAAGUAUUUCUUGAGCUUGAUUAUUCUUCAUAUUGAAGGAACAACUGCUAUAAGUUCAGGUCAGACAUCUUCAAGGGUUAGUUAAGAGCAUAUUUCCUCUAAUUUCAGGCUUGAAUUCCAGUUCAGGGUGUGGCCAAAGCAGAGUGGAAAGACCAUCAUGGGAAUGAACCUUCCAGCAAGCCACUGACUUGUCCUGUCAGUGAUGCUUAAGAAAGAUGGUGCUUAAAUUAAGGUGAAUACUAACAUUUCCCUGUUGAAGUAACCUAAGCUACAACAAAGCAUACUGUUGGGAUGGGGUCUCCUAUCAUUCUUUUCCGUGAAAGAGAAGACAUUGAAUUUAGGAGGAAUUGUAGCAGACCACCAAGGAAUCAGAAAAUCAAAAUGUAGUAAAACAUGGAAAAGUUAUCCUUUGACUUAAAUGCCUCACUUAAUUGACUCACUAAGGCAGAUUAACAUUAGAUGCAUUUAACCUAAAUUAUUAGUGCAAGGACCCAUCUUCAGCUGCUACUUAAUAAAAGAUUCAUGCAACCAGAUAGAAGUAUUCAUCUUUUGGAGUUCCUGUCAUGGUGCAGGGGAAAUGAAUCCAACUGGAACCAUUAGGUUGUGGGUUCAAUCCCUGGCCUCGCUCAGUGGGUUAAGGAUCUGGCAUUGCCAUGAGCUGUGGUGUAGAUUGCAGACUCGGUUCAAAUCCCUCGUUGCUGUGACUGUGGUGUAAGCCAGCAGCUGUAGCUCUGAUUUGACCCCUAGUCUGGGAACCUCCUAUGCUUUGGGUGCAGCUCUAAAAAGCAAAGUAUGUAUAUAUACAAAUAUAUAAUAAAUUUAAAAAAAAAACAAGUAUUCAUCUUUCAUUAAGGAAAAUUCAACUUCAUAUCACGUUAUUUGAAAUUGUUAUACAAAAUUAUAUUUUCCCUGUUUUGUUCAUAGCAAUGAUUGGGACAAUUCUUUUAACAUGUGACUGGGCAUAAAUUGAAACUAAAAAAUCCCUAAAUUUAAUAACAUUCAAUCUUGAGACUUCCAAAAAGAAUUUUUAAAAAAUUAGACAAAUUGGAAAAGUUUUCUAAGAAAAUGCCCCUGAACUAUAAGAAAAACACAUCCCAUAGUCUUUUGUUUCUACUGUUAAGAGCUAACACCCUAUACCUGUGAUGUUCAAAUAUGUCUACAUUUCAAUUUCAUUUUCACAUUUAAGGACGUGAAGAUACACCGUAGUGAAUCUAAUAAAGUCUGAAGGCUUUGCUUCAAGCAAGACUCAAGUUAUACACACAACUGGCAUAGGGUGAGAGAACAUAAUGGAUUGCUAUAUAUUCUAAAACCCCCUUUUUUCAUAAAAGGAGCCUAUUUUGCAGCAACCCUAAGAGCAAAGACUGUGGUCUCACUUUGCUCAGUGCCAUAUCCCCAGUGCCUGUGCAUGAAUGUUUGUGGAACUCAACAGGAAGACUGUAACUAUAAAACAGCUACUUUCAUACUUUUCAGUGACUUUGUAAACUUGGGACCUGAUAUGUCUGCAUCUCAAGCCAGAUUUUCCCAAGUCCUUCCUGACUCUCACUGCUUCCUCAUUCUGCUCCAAAAAUUACAGAUUUCACAGGUCCCCCUCCCCCAGCCGAUCUAGGUCUUUCUUAUAUCACUCUGGUAGUAGAAAGAGCCCUCUGAUUCUUAUGUAGGCCAUUUGCUGCCUUGAGCCAAAGACUUGCUGACUGAGUCCCUGGGCAUCAGGACUGAGAGUGAGAGAAAAUGAGUGAGGGGCAACUACAGCGAUCAGAUAGGAGGUAAAUGUAUAAAUGAGCAUUCAAGCAAAGAUCCACCCACAAGGUAAUUUUUGGAAUAGCUCUGGAAAGAUAAGAAAGGGCGUGAUGAGAGGAAGCCAGGAAAAUUCUAGGAUGUUUUUGAAUCUGUGUCAAAUGUUACUGUGUGUAUAAAACAUCUAAAAAUUCCAAACAUUAUGCAUAAUGGAAAAAAAAAACUCUUCAAACAGACUUACAGUUCAUUAUACUCAUCUCUCUUACCCGCUUAUUCAUAACACUCAAAUAUCUGAAUGCCUCUGCCUGCUAUAUGAACAAGAAACUAGACUGAUUGUAGAGGCCAGGUUAAGUUGAAAAAGUUCUGCCCCUGGACAUAAUAAAAAAUUCUCUUAAUGCUAUGGCCGAAGGGUUUUGCUGAUCAUUUUAAAGAGUAGCAAAGAAGUUAUUUGCCAAUUGAGGAGACAACUAUUUUAUGCCUUCUUCUACAUGAGAUGGUCUCUUCUUGAACAGACAAUUUCUAAGUAAUCUGCAAAGGAAAUAGUUUUCAUGUAGGCUACAUCUAUACAUUUACCAAAUCUGCACUUCUCCUAUUCACCAGUCACUACUAAAUUCCAUCUUCUUAUGCUACACCGUCAUAGCCCUGCCUCCUGACCUUCUGCACAAUCAUCCAAAAUAAAAUGUUAGCUCUUUAUUCCUGUGCACACACAAAAAUGUUGUCAUGGUUUCUAAUUGGCUUGCAAAUUCAAGCCACUCUCCAGACACCAAUCCACACUGUGUAGUUUUAUAUUCCACUAUUUCCCAUACCAUGGGCUUCAGUCUGUUUACACCCUCUACUACUAGCAUGGAAUUCUAGUUCCCAUUGUAAUCACUUUACUCAUUCACUUGCCUCCCCUAGAAUUCUCUGCUCUCAACUCCACUACCUAUUCAGAUUCUACCCAUACUUCCAGAUUCACCUGCAGCUGUAUCUGAGAGCUUCAAGUGUUAAAGAUCUCUCCUGCCCUUCUCAAUGGGACUUAGGAUCAUCUAUUGAUCAAAUGCACAAGUUAAUCAUAAAACAGCAAAAUAAAUAGUUUUAAUCAUGAUAAUCAAAUUAAUAUGAUUUCUGUGUAGGCAGUUCACCUUCAGUUAGUACCCAACAGCAGUAAUCAGCACUUCUCCCCAUUAGUAGAACUCAGAUUCUCAAAAUCAACUGCUUUUCAAAAUCAUCUCUAAAGCCUAUAUAAGAAUGGAGGUCUAGACCCCUCCCUGAGAUUACAAUUCAGACGGUCCAAAGAAAAUAGUUUCCAGUAACUCUGCACAUAUUUCUGAUACCCACCCAGGUCUAGCACAUUGUUUUUCCAAGGAAGAUUCCAGUUGACUGCUUAUCAAUUGACAUACAAAUGACUCCACAAUGAUUCAAAGAAGUGAUAGGAAAAACAGGCGAUUGGGGUUCAUCUACUGAUUCAAAAAAAAGGCAAAAAGUUUUGCCUUAUUAAAUUCACCAGCCUGAGAGUUCCCAAUGUGGCUCUGUGGAAUCAAAUCUGACUAGUAUCCAUGAGGAUGAAGGUUUAAUCCCUGGCCUUGCUCAGUGAGUUGGGGAUCCACCGUUGCCGUGAGCUGCAGUGUAGGUCGUAGAUUCGGCUUGGAUCCUAUGCUACUUUGGCUGUGGUGUAGGCCAGCAGCUGUAGCUCUGAUUCAACCCCUAGCCUGGGAACACAGGCUGUGGGUACAGCCCUAAAAAGAAAAAAAAAAAAAUUCAUCAGACCCUACACAGGUGAUUGCACAGCAGGAUAUUAGGUUAUUUUUAGGCAGAAGGAAUGGUAUAUACACUGAGUCAUGGCCAAUGGAAAGAUUUUAGAACAACAUAGAAAUGCUCAUGCCAUUAAAAUGACUUAGUUAAGCCAUCAUUACUUCAUUGCUGCAGUUACCCAAACUGGCAGAGGUUCCCUAUCCUAACUGUGCCUAGAGUAAUCUGCCAAGAAAUGUAUAUACACAUUGGCCCACUUAACCAGAAAUUUGCAGAAUGGGAUCUGGAGAAUCUAUAUUUUCAAUAACUCCAGGUGAUUCUUUAGAGAAGAAAGAUUUGAAAAUCUCAGGCCAUUCCAAGGUCUUUCUCUAUUCCCUUUAGUCAGAUUUUGCCUUAAAGGAGCUGCCUGGUAAAUCUUAAGCCAUUUCCACUAGACCUUCCUGAUAGGAGAUCUUUCCAAUGGCAUUCCAGAUAUCCAUAACGAAGUAAUAAAUGAUGGCUUCGAUGAAGACAAAAAUUUGGUUUGCGUUAGCUGAUAUUCUUUCAUCUUUCCAAUGGCCAUCACAAUGAUGGCUUAACUAAGUCAUUUUAAUGGCAUGAGCAUUUGUAUGUUGUUCUAAAAUCCUUCCACUGGCCAUGACUCAGUGUAUAUACCACUCUUUCUGCCUAAAAAUAACCUAAUAUCCUGCUGUACAGACAAUUAAAAAGCAGCUGAAAAGUUUAACUACUUCAUUGAGUAAACAUCUUAACUGGGUACUCAUCUCAUGAGCUACCCUUUCUUUAAAUAUACUUGCAGACAGUUUUCCUUCAAUUGCAAAAAAAAAAAAAAAUCUCCAUUAUGAAACUUUCCUUUCAAUUAUAACACAGGAGAUAUUUUGAUGUACACCAACCGACAAAAAGAGUGUUUGCCAGUUGGUGUGUUUCCCUUAUUAUGUAAAAUUGGAAAUGGAAACUGCGGCCUUGAUGAAAACACUGAAAUUCCAGUAAGUAGGAUUAGUCAUACUUUUCGUGUACCAGGGUUAGAUUUCCAACAGCAAGUAAAAGUUCCCUGAGCUACUAGUAGAAGAAAACAUACUCCAAUUAAAAGAAAAAAGAAGGAACUACACAGGCUUGCAAGAGCCAAAGCAGGGAUGAGUAACAUUUGACAUUUGAAAGGCUGGAAUCUGAGCAAACGCCUUUCUCCCAGAGGAGAAACUUCUCACCAAAUAGUUGGCUCAUUGUGGUAUCUCGCUUUCUUUGAAACAGCAAGUCUCAAAUCUUUAGGGAGAAGGCAAAUUAAUGAAAACCUUUUUGGCUUAACUCCUCACAGCCUGGGAACUGGUGUAAUCAAAUCAAGAAGUUCCAGCCAACUGAGAUUUAAAUUAGACCCUGGCCAGAGGAGUGGGAAGGGCCUCAGUUGUAACUGAUUGUUGACAGGCCUGGGGCCCCUCCUGUGCUCCCUCAAUGAGUGUCUGGGGGCUUUUUACUUCCACUCUUAAUAAGGUCUCACUGUUUGAGAGCUAACAUUUGGACCUCCUUCUUCGUCUUGAACAUUAGAACAGUUACCCUUUCAACUGCAGGAAAUAUUUUCAUAUAAACACCAGAGCAAGUAGGUAAAAGGAUGAGUCAGGGAUCAAAAAAAUCUGCACUGUCACCCCCAUAAUUCAGAGAGAACGAGAGACAAAGGAGCAAAGAAAUAGAGUAGACCUUUAGACGUUCCUAAGCAUUUAAUUAAAGUAAGAUUUAUACACGUUCCAUACGUCUCAGAAUCCUUCAGAUCAGCGGAGUAUAAAAUAACCCUUCCGCAACACGAUGUUAAGUUUCUUAAAUGCCAAUGGCCAAAUUUAGAGUAUUUACGUGUUUUUCUUCCAAACCCUCUAUGCACUCCAAGUAAUCUCUUUUGAAGCCAUCAUAUCCCCUCACAACUCACACAGAAAAUUCAAGUCUUAUUCUACUUCUUCUAAAUCCUUCCCAAUCAGAUGAGCAAAAAUUAGUAAGGUCUUAGUGAACCUGAGGCUAGGCCUGAUGCCCUGCCCUGUUCCACCCACAAACAGGAUAAAAACAAGAACCCAUUGCCACCCUAUCUCCCAAGCUAACAGUGUCCACGAACUUUCCUGGCACCUUACUGUUCCUUACAUGGUUCUUCCUCCUCCUAAGUCAGUUUAUAAUGCAUACUCCUGAAUAAAUGCUUUUUUUGAGGCUAAAGUCUGAGAUGAAGUUGUUGGCAGGGCUGGUUCCUUCUGAGGGCUGUGAGGGAAGGCUCCAUUUCAGGUCUCUCCACCUGGUUUGUAAUGGCCAUCUUCUCCUUGUCUCUUCAUAUCAUCUUCCCUCUAUGUGUAUCCCUUUGUCCAAGUUUCCCCUUCUUACCAGGACAACAGGCAUGCUGGAUGAGAGCCUACCUUAAUGACCUCACUUUUGCUUGGUUACCUCUAUAAAGAUGCUAUCUCCAAAAAAAAGAAAAGUGACAUGUUGAGUUCCUAGGGAUAAGACUCCAAACAUAAAUUUUGGUCAAAAUCCAACCCAUUAAAAUCCUCUACCUGACCUUAGACAGUAAACACUAAUGCCUAACACUCUGAGAAGCAAGGAUGCAAACACACCAGGCCAUAUGUCAUCUCAGUAAUAUCUUUAGAAGGAAGCUUACAGAAUGCCCUUACAUGCAGUUAUCUGUAGAAUGCUAAAUGAAAUUCACAGCAAUCUGGUUAUCCAUAAGAUACCUUUUCUUAUAAAUGUAUACAAAGUGUUCUCUAUUAUACAUUAUGAAAUAGUGAAACUAAAAUCUCAACAGAGAUUUUGUCACCCUCAUUGAGGUAGGAGGUAGAUGGGCCCCUGGGCUGAGAACAGCUGGGACUUAUUAGGCCAAGGAAACUGGGCCUUGUUUCUCUUUGACACCUCAAGGAAAAUGUCAGCUGAAGGAGCUGAGCUCAGCUGGAGUAGAGGGAUAAGAUUGUUGGAAGAACAAAUCGUCUAACAAUCUUAGAAGAGAUAAGAUUGAUAAGAAGAGGCGAUCCCUUUGUGGUGCAGUGAUUAACAAAUCUGACCAGGAACCAUGAGGUUACAGGAUUGACCCCUGGCCUUGCUCAGUGGGUUAAGGAUCCAGUGUUGCCGUGAGCUGUGGUGUAGGUUGCAGACCGGCUCAGAUCCCACGUUGCUGUGGCUGUGGCAGAGGCUAGAGCAAUGAGACUGCAAGAGGAGUCUGUUGACCGACAGAGUGGUUGGGAGCUCUGAGGAGCCUUGAGACUCAGGCUCCCCCACCACAGGGGAGUGUUUGUGUUUUUUUAUGUUUUUUUAUAGACACGGUUUGUUUUGUUGAUCCAUGUGGUCAGUGGCCUUGGGGCUAUCUUUGUCUUUGGGAACUCAUCCCUUACAUGGUCCUGUUUGUUAAGAAAGAGUCUGUCUCCUUCUAGGCCUUGUUUCAUUUUCCAUAUGACCACUUCAAUCACUCCUGGAGUUAAGGAGAUCUCCCCAAUUACACAUGCACAGUAAGACUCCUAGGGGUCAGAAAGGGAGGGGGUGCCGAGCCAUAAUAAAUCCUGAUA